ACGACUGUCACCUAAUCCUGUCAAAUGUCUCUUUUUGAGUAGCUUUGUUCAAGCAAAUGAGACCGAACCAGACACUUCGAUACGACCCUAUACUCUUGUAAACUGGUACCGCCCCUAUUUUUUUCUACUGAAUAAGUUAGGGUGUCACCAAGUAAAGUUCUAAACUUCCCAAAAGUCUUCAUUCAAUUACCAUUAAAGAUUAAACAACAAAUUUUAAAUUUAUAAAUAGCAAAAUGCAAGCUGGUGCAGCAAAUGAAUUCACAUUUCAGUAUCAAUCCAGCUUUCAGUCGCCUUCUCAAACUGUCAAAAGAAAAAAAAAAUAUAUUCAAAGUCAACUUUCUCUUUAUUAAUUUUCCACGAAAAAUCAUCAUCUACAUACAGAUACAUACAGCCUAUAUAAACAUGUUAUGGUUCAUGAACAAAUAUAGAGUGAGAAAGGUGAGAAUGGUGGAUUAAGCCCAUAAUCUUCUGAAGAUCGGUUUGCAUUUACUAUAUAUCUUGCAGGCCAUAAUCCAGAUAUAUUAUUGGUGAAUUUAG